rnacentral:misc_RNA from 1 species
AGUAAGCUUGUGUAUGUGCAGUUUGGCUCCAAGAAAACAUCACGAUGCCUUUAUACGCUGUGAUUAGUUCUUCUCUUCUUACUGGCCACUGUAUUAGUGUACAGAGUAUCUCUUGUUCACAGUAAAAGUGCCAUGGAAGAUAACUGGCCAGCAAAAACAGGCCACAGGUUAACAAGUUAUCUGGAAUUAUUGAAACAGCAACAAGAAGCAGUGGAAGAGGAAAUAUUAAGGAUUACAACAACUCUAAAAAAUAGACUUAACGAUUUAGGGCAGGUUCGCCAGUCAAUAGACAAAAUCUCUGGUCUUACGAGACAAACACCUUGCAACGUUCCAAAUGAAAAUAGUGAAGCAUCUAAAGUUUACACGACUUCAUAGUGCAAAUAAAUAUUGUAUAAUUUGAAGCACAGCAAAAUUUUAUAUGAUAAAUUCACUGCAAUAUGACUUGCACAGAGAGCUACCCUCCACAUUCAAAAUAAGUAAUACUGAGUUAUUUUCAGAAAUAAUGACACACUUAUUAUUUGAUGCUCACUACAAAAUGUUACAGAAAUUCCAACCCCACAUUAUUUCUAUCUUAUUCAUAUUAUGAGAAAAAAUAAUUUACUAUACAGAGAAAAUUUAAUGCUAGAGUCAAAACAGUUAAGUGCUUUUUUAAAUAAAGGUAAUUUUUAGAUUUCUUGUGACUGAGAAAUAACUUUUUUUUUUUUAAUUCUCUAUUAACAUUUAUGUGUCUCCAGUUCAUCUUUGCUUUUUGAACUUUCACAUCUAUUUCUCAACCAUAUUAAUAUUUUCUCAGCUUCUCAAUGACGUCGUGAAAAGUUAGCACAAAAAAUCAUCACUGUUAAAAAAAUAAGGUGCAGAAUCAAAUAUGUUGCAUUUAUGUACAAAUAACAGUUACUGAAAACAUUCAUGUUUCAAGUAUUCCUUUUAAAGAUUAUCUCGAUAAAUAUCUACUUCUAAAGAAAGCAGUUUCUAAUAAUAAUUGUAAUAAAGAAAUAUGCAGUUACUUUUAUAUAAUUAAAUAAAAUUAUACCUUUUAAAAGUAAACUGCUUGCAUUGAAAUGGCAAAAGUUAAACCGGAAUACACCAGUUUAGAAAUUAUUUUAACUGAGACUUUCCUUUUUUAAAAUAAUUUUUAAUGUACUUGCAAAUACAUACUUCUGUGUAUACAUAUUUUAUAGAUUUUAAUUAAAGAAAUGCAUGCAGUCUGAUUGAUAUAUUAAAGCAUGAAUUGAAUUUACUCUUGAACCUAAAGAGAGGCAAAAUACACAAAGCCAAUUAACUCUAAUAAUAAUUAAAGACGUUUUAGAUAGAAUAUAUACAAUAAAUUUCUGCAAAAGAAUAGAUAUAAGACAUAUUAUAAUGAGGAUAGGUUUAUUAUCAUAACUGUUUGACCCUGUCUUUGAAAACAUACAAAAUUCUUUAUUAUUAACUUUCAGCAAUAACUCAAUCUACUCUAAAAUAAUGAUCUCUUUAUUCAAUAUGAACUAUAAAGAAUCACAUUUAAUUGCUUAAACGUUAAGUUUCUCAAAAAGAAAUUUUGUUUAGUAUUUCAAGUAUCAAAAUUAGGUUUUUAAUUGUUAAGCCCAGCAUAUUCUUCCUAACCAUUUUAAGUAUUAAAAUUAGUCCUGUUAUUUUUUCCCAAAAAACUUCUUGUUUUCUUUUUAAUCUCCAUAUUUGUUUAAGAUUUAUGGAAACAGAAAGAAAAAAAAUUAUGGAGAUUAGAAAAGAUAGUGACUGCUAUUUAUCAAAAUAAUUUAAAUCCCACUAUUCAUCACAUAAAAAAGCUGCAAAAUUAAAACAAUCAAAAAUGGACUUUUAAAAUAAAUUUGGCUUUUAAUAAUAAAACAAUUACAUAAUAAUUUAAUCUUUUUAUCAAAAUUUAAAAUUAAAUAAAUUUUAAAGAAAUUUAAUAGGAGAAAGGAAUCUACUAAACCAGUUUUUCAAGACAUUUUUAUGGAAUGGAAAAAAAUAAUAUUUCAUAUUUUGACGAUAACUGAAUUAGCUGCUUCCCUUUCCAUACAUUAUUUGGCCAAAGAAGUACUUCCAUAUAUUUACUCUAUCAGGAAUUAAUGAUGCCAGAAAUAAGGGAAGCAACCUUUAGAUUAAUUUAAAAUAAAUCUGACAAAUUUUCUGAUAAUGUAACUGCAUUUUGUGUAAUUUAAAAAAACUUUAUACAUGUUAAUAAUUAAAAUGGUAGAAAAAAUUUGUAAACUGUUGUUUUAUUUACUAUUCAAAAUCUAUCUUAUCAAUGAAAAAAGCAAAGCUUGUAUGUGAAGGUGUUAGACUGUUCUAACAUCCUGCAAUAUCUCCCUCUGCAUUAUAUCUUUUACACAUUACAAAUACAAAGGGUAUGAAUUAACAGAUUUCUCCUUCAUCUAGGUGCGUAAUUUUUAUUAAGAUUUUUCAUGCUUCAGAAGUAAUCACUUCCGAAAUAUCAUAUUUAAAAUCAGAUCGGUUAAAUUUAUAAAGUAUUUUCACAACAAAUAUAUAUUUUUGCCUUUGCCCAAUAAAAACUUUUAUUAAGAUACUAUUAGUGCCUGAAAUAAUAGAACUGUAUGAGAUACAUUCCGCAAGAGACGAAGAGGAAGAAUGACUUUGCUUGUUUGCAUUAGCUGUACAUAAGUCACGUGAUCUCUGGGGUCAUCUGCAUUGUUUGUUUAUAAAAGGUAUACAUAAGUCACGUGAGGAAUGAGGUCAUCGAAAUGUAUCUCAUUAUGCUGCUUUAGAUUCGAAAAUAAAAUUCAAAUUUUGUCAUGGCAACAUAAUUAAUAAAUUCUUAAAACUCGCUGAGAAAUUACACUUAGGAAACUAAGCUAUGAAAAGUAAAAAUGAAUAAAUACUUUAAGCACAUUAUAGUUAAAAAAAUAUAAAAAAACACCCACUACAGAAAAAAUUACAUGCAAUGUAAAUGUUAUAGAUUAAAAUAAUUACUAAAUACACAGUUAAAAAACUAAAAAAAAAAAAAAAAAAAAAGAAAAAAAGAAAAGAAGUGGGAGCAAAUGUGUUUGUUUUCGAACCAUUUUGGAAACACCAGGAAAUCCAUAUUCAGUUUUUAAUCAAGUUAGAUUCAAAAUAUGAGAAAGGUAUGUAUGAUGGAAAGAAGGAUUUCAAUUACCUGUAAGCAUAAUGCUCUACUGAAAUGUCAAAUGUAUAGAUAUUAUUUAACUUUGUAAAUAAAUUAUCAAUUGUUGUUCUA